UACGGCCCCAUCACGGUUAAAUACCUGUUCCCGUACGAUCACCGAAGUUAAGCAACGUUGAAUGUGGUCAGUACAUAGAUGGGUGACUGCUUGGGAAUAUCAGGUGCUGUAA